AAUCCUGCUCCGGGCGACGGCAGCCAUUGCCUAGAUUUCUGCCCACUACUAUGGGCUUGGAAGAAAAUGGGGCGCACACCAGGAGUCUGGAAGAGGACCCUGGACAUCCGAGUCCUGAAAUCUAAACUUUACCUGGGAAGGGGGCGGUGUCGCGAGUGGCGGGACCCCAGGAGGGUGGUGCCUGUAACCCCUGACCUUGCUGGGUGGGGGCGUGCCUUCCUGGGGCGGCCCCGAGGAGAGGGCGUGUGGUUCCCGCCCCGCGUGCGCGUGGACGGCUCGCCCUGGCUCGGGCCCUCGGGAGGAGGCUGCUGCGCGCGGCUGGGCCUCUUUUCAGUUCCUCUCCGUGUCUGAGGUUGGGCCCCGACGCGGCACGUUUCUUUGAGGUUGGUAACCUGCCCCUGGGUUUGCGCGGGUAAUUUGGGUACUCUGAUGGGAGGCCCAAGACCAGCUUUGUGCAGAAUGACCCCCAGUCCACUCUGAAUCUCGCUCGUGAGCGUCUGAGAAGACCGGGGUGGCGGCUUGUGGAAAAUUCAGAUUCCCAGGCCCAGAUGCGGGUCCAGGGGGACCAAACUAUGAGAAGUCUGGUGUGGAGACAUGGAGUCUUGAGCCUGGUAGGACUCCUGGAGCCCUAUCGCCUAUGUCGAUCACUUGGCGAGGGGGGAAGAAAGGCUGCUUUCCCCGGGGAGUCUAGGUCCUGUGUCUCACCUCUGGGCAACGGUGUCGCCUAGUAGGGCUUGCAGGAAUUGAAAUUUGAGCGUACCCUGCCCCCUGCUUACUGGCUCUGUGACCUUGGGCAAGUCACUUCACUCCUCCAAGCCUGACUGUUCUCCUGUUUCUGCAGGAACUGGAGAAGAUAGCUUCUGGAAGUAUCUCCUGCAGGGCCUGGCAUUUAGCACUUGAUAAAUGCUAACAGCCUUGUCAAGUUAGGUGGUUAUGUUAUCGAAUAAGCCCUCACACGGGAAAGGUGGAAGGCGGAGAAAGAGGAGGGGAUGUGGAGUUAGGUCUCUUUCCUGGCCUGUGAGUACUUAACAACUGUAGGUGUUGAGGGAGGGGCUGUCUCACCUGGCGGCCAUUAGCAGGAUAUGGAGGGCUGUGGGUGCCUUCAGGGGAUGGAGGUAUACAAAAAGUGUGUGACUCUGUGUUGAGUUAUUUAGGCAGGAAGGCUUUCCAGCACCAAAGAGGCUACAUGGCUGGUUCUCUGCAUCAUAAACUGCCCAAGCAGUUUCUAGGCUAAUACUUCUCAAACUUCCCUCCCUCAGAAUACUAGGAGCUACACCCAGUGACAUCUGCCUGCCAAAAUAGGCCAGGGGUGUCUCUUCCAAACCACGGGGAAAAUUCAGUUAACAAAAUGGUCUUGCCUAACUGGAAUCGCUAGCCCGGAGCUUCGUGCAGUGCUGAUGAGGCGUGUGUCGGGACACCUUGGAGUGAGGAAAAGUGGAAUCCGGAUGACUCGCUUAUGCUAGACUGUGGCCCUAGACAUGGCAUCACUGACUGCUGGAGAGAAACCUUAGGUGCCUGUCCUGCAUUGUCUGGCACAGACAGCUGUGUGCUUGGCAAUUUGUAUGUGGCGGUCAGACACCACCAGCUCUCCAACCUGCACGCUAUUAUGAAUUUGAGACUGAGAGAAAAGAGGACAUUGUGUGCUGGAAAGUAUUUGAUCAGCAUAGCUCAGACACAGUUCGCUGUUCUCGUGUGGUCUGAGGAAAUUGUGAAAGCGAGUUCUUUCAGCAAGUGAGAGGAUCAGUCCAGAAUUUCCAAUUCCAAACCAGCAAUCGUGCUCCCUGCCGUGGGGGAUCUGGAAGUUGGAAGAAGUGGUGAACAGAGAGGAUUGUUUUGACUAUUUGGGGUCCUUUGCAAUUCCAUAUGAAUUUGAGCAUCAACUUUUCCAUUUCUGAAAAAAAGGCAGUUAGAAUUUAGAUCCUGAAUCUGUUUGCUGCCUACUGUAGAUGAAGAAGGUUAGAGAACAGUCCUGGAACCUUCACUGGGCAUACUCGUGCCAUGAUUGAAAUAUCAGGCUUUGUUUGUGGCCAUAUAUCUUGUAUCUUCUACUUGGGAUCUCCAUCCUCAACUAUAGGAAAUUUCCAAAGAAGAUCUACUGAAGGGACUUCAUUUUUGCUGUCUGCGUUGGCCAUGACGGGAACUGCGUGUGUGCAGAUUUAGUGUGGUUUUGAAGGCUCCAGCUGCCAAGCAUCCCUGGAGCAGCUGCUCUGUGCGUCAUCUUCCUUGGCUUAUUGGAAGCUUUGGCAUCUUAGUUCUUCACUUUUUCGUAUCGUUUGCCAUCAGAGUGCCAUUUGGGGAUAAAUGUGUACUUUAUAUCGCCUCUUCUAAGAAGUGUAAAUAGCUAAUGGUGUAGCCAUUUCAUUAUUAUGUUUGAGAUACACUUAUAAAGAAAGCUUUCUCUUUUCCAAAGUCUCCUAGGUUAUGAGCAUUUUAACAGGGGAUCAAAUUCAAACACAGGUUCCUUGGUUAUCUUUGGUUCAUCAGAUAAAAAAAUUUAAGCCAGUAUUAAGCACUGAAAUUGAUACAUCUUAGAUGUUAAAUUCUAGUUAGGUUAUAACAGCAGGUUUUAAGAAAAAGAGCCGCACGGUUUCUGAAAAUCUCUACAGAGAACACUUAAAAUAUUUAUUAAAAUGACAACUGGACUCUGCCUUGUGUCAAUAAACGUGAAUCUUAUGAAUCAAUAGUUUAUGGCAGAUAAAACAUGAAAUAAUUGGCUAACAAGUUUAAUGAAAAUUAACAAUAGUGCUUAAACCUACAUCCUUUGAACACGAGGAACACAGGAGGGCACUCUGUUCUCAGUAUUUAGCUUAUUAAAUUUAUAAUAGUUAUGUAGGCAAGUGAAAUAUUAUCUUUCUGUGUUCUUUUCCUCACUGGUACUUUGAGUUUCAAAAAACAUAGGGGUGCUUCUUGUUGAUGAGCUUGAUAAAAUUGGCGCCGGUUGUCAUUUGGAAUUGCACAGUGAAGGAUCUAAGGCUUGUGUUCUGAGUUGUCACACUAUCAGAUAAUUACUUAAGAGUUCUUGGCAGGAAUUUUACUUUUAUUUUUUGGACUCGGCCAUUAAGCAAAAUCAAAAUAACUUCUUGCACUUUCACAGCUCUUUCUGAUUUAAAAAUCAUACUUUGCCAUAGAUCUCUGAGUACUCCCAAAAGGUUUUUGUGAAGCAGAAAAAUAAGAGCCUCAUUUAAAAUUGGAUGCUUUGAGGCAGACAGCCUAGGAAUAUACUGUGAGUGGGUGACAAGGUUGGGACCAACUCCUGAGCGCCUGUCCUCAGCAGGUCCUGGAGUGUGGAAGGCAGUCCCAGAACCCGUACAAAGGGGAUCCUUACAUCAUUCUCAUUUCUUCACCUUUCUAGAAGAUGGAGGGCAGAGAAGAGCUCCAUGCCAUUGCGAGGCUGUAGCAGGGAAAUUGUGGUUAGGCAACAGUGUAUUUGUUUCAGUUUCUUUCAAAGAAGGGUGGAUUUAUGAUCUCCAGUGAACAACGCAAAAUGCUGUUUUUAUUUUGAUUUGAUAGUAUGGAUGCUUAGUCUCCUGCUCCGUAUAUUGGAAUGCACGGGAGGGUAUUGUCCUCCAACUGACCUUUCCCAAAAUCGAAUCUUGAGUCUAAAAGCUGUAACCUAAAACCCCAAGUCAUUGGCCUUAAAGAAGUUUCCUUGAGAGAAGAAUUAGGCAAUUCCUUUUUCAUUUCUAAAUGUAUGUGCCCCGUGCAUGCAUUCAGAAAGUGUGCUAUCCUUGGCCUCAAGCCUCCUGGAAUUUUGGGAUGCGUGGAGAAGCAAUAAUCUCUCUGUUCCAACUUGAUUGGAGCCUGAACCCAAUCUGACCCAAAAUUAGUUUUCAAAUCCGAAUGCAAUUAAAAACAGAUGUUUCCAAGUAGACUGAAAAAGACUGUGAAAAAAAAAAAUCAGGGUUCACUGCCUUUAGAAUUGGUUGCAUUUUCUAGGUACCUGUAAUGAACAGGAAGAGAGAACAAAUAAGAGUUGUUUCCAGAGAGUUUGCUCCUCCUUCCUUGCUCCACACCGAGCCCUCCGAGUGCUCCAAAUCCAUACCUUUCAAGGAGGUGUGUUAUGAUCUACCAGGCUGGACUGUCCUGUCUGAUCCACUUUCUAAUCUAUUCUCAGUCAGGACAAAUUUGCAUCUCAGGUUAGGCACUUAAUAAUUCUUAUUGCUGAGAACUAAUUGCUACCAAUAAAGGAAGGGACACAUGAAAAAUCACUUGUUAUCCAAAAGUACUAGAACAUUAAGGACACUUACACAGAAAGUUUCAUUUAGCAUAUGCUUUCAAACUCUUAAAGCUAGCCUAGUGGCAAUUCAGGAAACAUUAGUGAGUUUUGGAAGGCUUUUUUUCCCCGUUGAAUCAAAACCCAAUUAAAUCGUGCAUGGUAGGGAAGGGAGGAGAAAGCUUACUUGUGGACAAAUAGUACCCAUGAACUUGAAUGCAUUAAAAUGGAUUCAUAAGUUCUUCUAAGAUGAGAAACAUGUGUCCAAUUACUGUGAGAUUCACCACUCCUUACAAGUUCAGAGCAGACAGUCCUCAUCUCCUUGUUUCAAAAUGAGUGUGUCUAUUUUCAGAGUAAUUUUCAGCAUGAAGUCUGGUCCACCAUUUGAUUUUUAAUCUCCUCUUUUAUCCCUGGAAUCUUGCAUUCCUGAUGCAUUUCAUCUUUUUUGUAUGGAAUAAUAUCCUUCAGAAAUCUUUGAUGCAUUGGUGAAUUAAAAGAAAAAAAUGAGAGGUAAGUGCUUGCUCUAUUUGUCAUUUUUAAUACAUUUGGAGCCACUUGAUUUAUGAUGAAGCAUUUCUUGGGAGAGGCGAAUGUUUAAGGUGGUAUUUUGAGCUCCAUUUAAGGCAAUUUAGUUGUCAUCAGGCCUCCUCACCUCAUAACCUUCAUAAGACCUUGCUUCAUAAAUUGGACCCAAACAAUUGGCUUGUGUUUCGAGUAGACAAAGCCUUAUGGAAAUGAUACUUGCUAAGUGUUUUUAUUGGACAUCUGGGUAGAAGUCAGCCUUUGUCAGGCCAGUCCCAGACCACAGCUAGCCUGACUCCUACACCCUUGG